AGGGGUAUAGUUUAAUUGGUAAAACUGGCGAUUUUGCAUAUCGUUAAUUCGAGUUCGAUUCUUGAUACCUCCA
rnacentral:tRNA from 1 species